GACGAACCGUCCUAACGUUGUUCGGAAUCACUGGGCUUAAAGGGCGCGUAGGCGGCUUGCCAAGUCCGGGGUGAAAUCCUGCAGCUUAACUGUAGAAGGGCCUUGGAUACUGGCAAGCUCGAGGGAGGUAGGGGUCGCUGGAACUUCCGGUGGAGCGGUGAAAUGCGUUGAUAUCGGAAGGAACGCCGGUGGCGAAAGCGAGCGACUGGACCUCUUCUGACGCUGAGGCGCGAAAGCUAGGGGAGCAAACGGG
rnacentral:rRNA from 1 species